AUUGAACGCUGGCGGCAGGCCUAACACAUGCAAGUCGAGCGGAUGAAGGGAGCUUGCUCCUGGAUUCAGCGGCGGACGGGUGAGUAAUGCCUAGGAAUCUGCCUGGUAGUGGGGGAUAACGUCCGGAAACGGGCGCUAAUACCGCAUACGUCCUGAGGGAGAAAGUGGGGGAUCUUCGGACCUCACGCUAUCAGAUGAGCCUAGGUCGGAUUAGCUAGUUGGUGGGGUAGAGGCCUACCAAGGCGACGAUCCGUAACUGGUCUGAGAGGAUGAUCAGUCACACUGGAACUGAGACACGGUCCAGACUCCUACGGGAGGCGGCAGUGGGGAAUAUUGGACAAUGGGCGAAAGCCUGAUCCAGCCAUGCCGCGUGUGUGAAGAAGGUCUUCGGAUUGUAAAGCACUUUAAGUUGGGAGGAAGGGCAGUAAGUUAAUACCUUGCUGUUUUGACGUUACCAACAGAAUAAGCACCGGCUAACUUCGUG
rnacentral:rRNA from 1 species